UCUAAGUAUAACCUGCCAGACAGGGAAACUGCGUACGGCUCAUUACACCAGCCUUAAUUUACUUGACCUUGACUACCUACUUGGAUAACUGUGGUAAUUCUAGAGCUAAUACAUGCACCAAAGCUCCGAUCCUCGCGGAGAGGAGCGCAUUUGUUCGCCACAAAACCAAGCCCCCAUCUGGGCGUCCAGUGCUGAACCAGAACAACUCAGCUGAUCGCACGGUCUUGUACCGGCGACGUGUCUUUCAAGUGUCUGCCUUAUCAACUUUCGAUGGUAGUGUACCUGACUACCAUGGUUGUGACGGGUAACGGAGGAUAAGGGUUCGACUCCGGAGAAGGGGCCUGAGAAAUGGCCACUACGUCUAAGGAUGGCAGCAGGCGCGCAAAUUACCCACUCUCAACGCGAGGAGGUACUGACGAGAAAUAACGAGACCGUUCUCAUACGAGGCCGGUUAUUGGAAUGGGUACAAUUUAAA
rnacentral:rRNA from 1 species